rnacentral:rRNA from 1 species
UACGAGGGGGGCGAGCGUUGUUCGGAAUUAUUGGGCGUAAGGGUGCGUAGGCGGUUUGGUAAGUCUGAUGGUGAAAUCUAUGGGCUCAACUCAUAGUCUGCAUCGGAAACUGCCGGGCUUGAGUGUGGGAGAGGUGAGUGGAAUUCCUGGUGUAGCGGUGAAAUGCGUAGAUAUCAGGAGGAACACCUGUGGCGAAAGCGGCUCACUGGACCAUAACUGACGCUGAUGCACGGAAAGCUAGGGGAGCAAACAGG